rnacentral:tRNA from 1 species
GGGAAGGUAGCUCAGUGGUAGAGCGCUUGCCUUGCAUGCAAGAGGCCCUGGGUUCGAUUCCUCAGCACCA